rnacentral:sRNA from 1 species
UAAACAAUGGCGCCAAGCCGUACAGCAUCAAUAGCAGCAAGCCAGUUCAGGUCAUGUACAUUCGAAGGUCUGCAUGCAUGCCGUUCAAUUCUUACAAAGGAUACGCCACCAUGUCCCUUCUGAUUCCAACUGAGCUCUUCCUGGACAUGUACCACUGGACGACACCCUAUUUUGAGGACGAGUAUCGUAUCGUACAUCACGUUAUCUUGGUUGCACCGAAUGAUAGCCACGCCAAUAUUUUGAUUGAUGGUCAGUUGUUAUCAGU